rnacentral:rRNA from 1 species
GAUGAACGCUGCCAGAAUGCUUAACACAUGCAAGUCUUUGGCGAAGCUGUGCUUGCACCGCCUAGCCAAGGCGGACGGGUGAGUAACGCGUAAGGAACUUGCCCUGCAGUCAGGGAUAACAGACGGAAACGACUGAUAAGACCUGGUAAAGUCAGGCGGACUCAUGUCCAGCCUGAUGAAAAGAGAUGCUGCAGGAGAGCCUUGCGUCCUAUUAGCUUGUUGGUGGGGUAACGGCCCACCAAGGCGAUGAUAGGUAGCCGGCCUGAGAGGGUGGACGGCCACAAGGGGACUGAGAUACGGCCCUUACUCCUACGGGAGGCAGCAGUGGGGAAUAUUGGACAAUGGGGGCAACCCUGAUCCAGCAAUUCUGUGUGCACGAUGAAGGUUUUCGGAUUGUAAAGUGCUUUCAGCAGGGAAGAAAAAAAUGACGGUACCUGCAGAAGAAGCGACGGCUAAAUACGUG